CGGCAUCGUGCCGGGUGAGGUGGGCGACGUCGUUGACGGUGACGGCCCGCCAGCCCGGUUCGGUGCCGGAGGCGCCGUC
rnacentral:tRNA from 1 species